rnacentral:rRNA from 1 species
UACGAAGGGGCUAGCGUUGCUCGGAAUCACUGGCGUAAAGGGUGCGUAGGCGGUCUUUAAGUCAGGGUGAAUCCUGGAGCUCAACUCCAGAACUGCCUUGAUACUGAAGAUCUUGAGUUCGGAGAGGUGAGUGGAACUGCGAGUGUAGAGGUGAAUUCGUAGAUAUUCGCAAGAACACCAGUGGCGAAGCGGCUCACUGGCCGAUACUGACGCUGAGCACGAAGCGUGGAGCAACAGGA